GACGAACGCUGGCGGCGUGCUUAACACAUGCAAGUCGAACGGUGAAGGGGAGCUUGCUCCCCGGAUCAGUGGCGAACGGGUGAGUAACACGUGGGCAACCUGCCCCAGACUUCGGGAUAACGCUUCGAAAGAGGUGCUAAUACCGGAUACGAACUCCUUGGGCAUCCUGGGAGUUGGAAAGUUUUUCGGUCUGGGAUGGGCCCGCGGCCUAUCAGCUUGUUGGUGAGGUAACGGCUCACCAAGGCGACGACGGGUAGCCGGCCUGAGAGGGCGACCCGCCACACUGGGACUGAGACACGGCCCAGACUGCUACGGGAGGCAGCAGUGGGGAAUAUUGCGCAAGGGGCGAAAGCCUGACGCAGCAACGCCGCGUGAGGGAUGACGGCCUUCGGGUUGUAAACCUCUUUCAGCAGGGAAGAAGCGAAAGUGACGGUACCUGCAGAAGAAGCACCGGCUAACUACGUGCCAGCAGCCGCCGUAAAAC
rnacentral:rRNA from 1 species